CACAAAUUAUCCGUGAUUUUUUUUUCUCUCCCUCUUCUCUCCCCCUUUCCAAAAUGGCGCACGGGACAUGGAGCGGUGACGUCAUGUACGCAUGCCACACUCGCGCGUCCUCCUCCAUCCUGCUUCAGCAUCACCAAGGUUUCACUAAAUUUCUCAAGCGACGUUUGGAGUCUGACUGCUAAACUACACUGUCUGAAGCACUAUCAUGCAGAAACACAGCUGUCAUGUCAUAGCCAAGAGGAUCAGGGCCACAUUCAGCAGACACGCCGCCUCCGGAGAAGACGCCAUUUUCCGAGGAAAAUAUGGCUCAUUACCAGCGCGGGCAAAAUGAAGCAUCCAUCCGCCUUGGCGAGCACGAAGCCAGAAGACCCAGCAGAUGAGCGUGCUUGAGGUCCUUGAUAUAAUUUGCAUGCGCAGAUCACCGGAGGUCAGACGCGGAGGACGCGCCGCUGCUUCCACUCUUCAUUGGAGCCGGCGCAUUCCAUGCAGAAGUGUGAAAAAUUGGCGACAAAAGUUAAUCUGUCAUCAUGCGUGAUGUCACCAUAUCAUGCUUAUUUGGACUUCACAUCAAAUAUAUUCUGAAGAAGAAAAAAAAAAAAAAUCAAUGAAUCACACUGAGGAGAAUUAUUAGACGUGGAUCCUUUGCAGAAAGCAUGUCCUUGUAAAGCGAUCACAUUGUAAAUAAGAUGGGUUAAAUUGCACUUGUAGCACGCCUUCAAACAGUCGGCCUAUUCUCUGGGGGUGCUGUUUGUUGGAUUGGCGGGUGUGUGGAAAAGAGUGCUGCACACUCUCCCUUCUAAUAACGCCAGCAGACAAUAAGAAUCCCGGCUCAUAACAUAGGCCCCCGACCCCCACCCACCCCAUCGCCAUCCCUGUACAGAACACGUAUGGGGGGGCUUACCAGCUAAUAAAGUGGCAAGUCGUCAAAUCCAUGUGAGAGGAGCGCCGCGCCACAGGGACCUUUCAUAACACUUGUAUGUGCGGGUUCAAGCGCAGUGUAAAGGUUACACGUCGGCAUUGUAUACGCACUCACCUGAUGGCUCGCCGUAAGCCUCGCGCAUUUCCAAGGCCGCGUUUCUCAUUUGAACAAGCGCCACUGAAUAAUUCUGCUCCCAAAGACAGCAGAGGCAGGAUGAAUGUUUCACAUGCGAUACAAAAUUGACUAUGUUCGUGGCGGGUGUGAAUUAAUCAGCCUUUGUUGGAUUUAUUGUUAAGACGGAGAGCUUUUCGCUUUCUAAUGUUGAAUUAGGGCCUGGCCUUUAACCAAAACAGAGUGUCAGUAAUUAGUCUGGAUCGGCGGGCCCGGGGUCUGUAGCUGUCCUUCACGGGAGCGCAGACGCUCUCCCGCAGCAUUUCCACUCACUUUGUUUGCCGGGCUUUGAUCCACACGAUUCCAGUUAAAGUUACACCCAUCCCGCUGCAAGUUGAAACUUUGGCCAUUGUCGCUGGGCGGAACCUUAUACCCGUGGCGCCUUCUGGCUUUUGUCUCGUCCUUUUAGCGACGGAACUCUCCUAGCGCCACUCACAAAAGGCUACUCAUGACACCAUUUUAUCAUCUCUGCGAUGAUAGCCAAAUGCUAACGUCGAACAAUUGCGAUAUCGGGAGCAAACGUGAGCAGCUAAAGCAGUGCUAGUGUGUCGAAAGUGGUUCGCAUGGCUAAUUACGUGGGAAAUUGCACGGACGUUUUUAGCACUAUGUCUGAAAUGGACUAUUUUGCACAAACACAGCAGACAUGCUAAAAUUAUAAACUCAGCCAUAAAGAUCCAAUCAUUCAAAUGUAAAUAGGGGUUAGGUAUAUACUAUUUUUGUAUUUUCAUCUUACUAAAAAACACAUUAAUUCGCCAGCUUUCUACUAAUCUAUUUUUGUCCGAAAUCCUAUAAAUUUGUUUGAGUUGUACUUCUAAGAAAUCCCCAAAUGAGUCUGCUUUCUACUAAUUACUUUUUGCAAGAUAGCCUACUAACACACAAGUAGAUCAGUUUCUUCUACUUGCCUUCAAAUUAGUCACCUUUCUACUAACUACUUUUUGUAACACAAAAAUUGGUCAGGUUUCUAAGAAUGAAUAUUUGUAAGUUCCCCCAAAAAUGUGUCAAUUUACUACUAAUUCCUUUUUGAAAGACAUCCUACUAACCCACAGGUAGGUCCGUUUCUACUACCUUAUCUUUGGUAAGAAAUCCUACUAAACACUAACCUAAAAUUAGUCAUCUACUAAUUACUCUUUGUAAGUUACCCAAAAAGUUGUCAGGUUUCUCAUAAUUAAUCUUUUGUAAGUAACCCAAAAAAUGUGUCAGUUUUCUACUAAUUACUUUUUUAAAGAUAUCCUACUUACCCACAAGUAGGUCGGUUUCUACUACCUUACCUUUUGUAAGACAUCCUACUAUAUAGUAACCUAGAAUGAGUCAUUUAUCUACUAAUUACUUUUUGUAAGCAACCCAAAAAUGUGUCAUAUUUUUACUAUUUACUUUUUGGAAGUUACAAUUUGAUUGCGUCCAUUUUCUUCAGAAAAAAAAUUGUUGCGCAAUUUAGCUUUCUUCUAAUGACUUUUCUAAAGUAACUAAUCAUAUUAAAAAAACUGAAAUCAGCCCGUUUUCUAAUAUUUACGUUUUGUAAAAAAAAAAAAAAAAAAAUCAUACAAUCAAGUUUUCUAUCAAAUACCUUUUUGUAAGUAAACCCCAAAUUGGCAAAAGUUCUACUACUUUUUUUGUGAGAAAUGCUACAAAACACUAGUUUUGCAAAACAAUAACAAAUUCUAUUUUGUGACCCACAAAUUAGUCAGUUUGGUACACAUUACUCUUUGUAAUAAAUUACGCUGAGUAACCCACACAUUAGUCUUUGCAGUUUUUCGUGACAAAUCCUACUAAUUAACCCUCAAAUUCAUCCCUGUUGUACUAUUUAUCUUUUGUAGGAAGUUUCACAAAUGAAUUUGUGUUGACACAUUACUUUUUGUAGGAAAUCCUACUACCUGCAAAUUAGUCCGUGCUCCACUACCUUUUGUAGGAAAUUGUCAAAGUAACGCACAAAUUAGUGUGUUUUCUUCAAAUGACUUAUUAUUUUUCACUAGUGAGUCUCAUAAAGCCUACAGUCAUGUCUGUGUAUUGAUGUUAGCAAUUAGCUCUUCAACACCAGAAGAUGACCACAAACACUUAAAUGUGUGUUUUCGGUCCUGUGUGUUUGUGUCAUCGUCGUUGUUAGAGGAGCAUGUCGCUGCUAAACUGAACGGAACGGUUUGUGGCGCGCUAAUCUGGCGCACUUAAAAGCAACAAAUACAUGCCGGGAUCGUGCGCGUAAAGUGCCACUCCCCGUAUAAUCGGCAUCGGCGUCGUGCGAGUGAAACAUUCAUGGCGCACUCCAUCGGUUCAAUAUUUCAUUUCUCCACAAAGACUACAUGGCGGAACAGAUGCUCAAACUUUUCCUCAGGAGAGUCAAAGUCACUUUCACACACGCUGCGGAGCAAAAGACCAAGUGAACCGUUUGUGCGGCCACUUGCUCAGGCAUAUCCAAACUACGGGCGGGAGUCAUUUGCAGCCCGCCGUCCAUUUAUUUGCCGCCCUCAGCAGGUGCUAAGAUUAACCAUUGAAAAUAUUGUCCACGACGACGAAAAAAUAAACUAUUUACGUAAGUAAACAGUAACAUUUCUAUUUAUAACACCUCGAUGAAUAAACAUAAUGCAGUGACAACAACCAAAAGUUGGAAUUGCGUUAGUUUGCGCCACUUUCUGCUGUGUGUCAAAGUUUGGUUUGAGCAUGUUACUGUAACUAAAUUAAAGGGGAAGAAUUUCAAAGUGGCAUUUGCAGCCUUCCAUUUUUCUAAUCAAAGCCCUUGGAAGAAAAAGUCUGGACGCCCCUCAUAUACAUUGUGAGUGUAUGUGGAUACAAGAAUGUUGACAUCCACGGGCAGUGAAAACUCAAGCCCUUUAGUGAUCCGCCAAGGUUGCCCUUUGCCUCGGUGUCGCACAUGCGGUGAAAACCGGACUCGGCGUGUUUGCGUUAGGAUUUCUUCAUCUGCCUCUUAAAGCCCGACGGGCGCGCUUCAAGGUGAGGAGAGCUAAGAUGAUGAUCCCCUCUUCCUCCGAGGAGCUUUUCCUCGCGCGCACCCUCACAGAUGUCGACAUUUGGUUAGGCGCUGUACACCAAGCCCCAGAUUAUCAAGCUGCUCCACGCGGAAAGUCUGUCGAGCCAAACUCGAGAGCGCCGACUUCUUCACCCCCCCCCCCCCCACCCCAUCCGCACACCACCACCCCCCACCCCCAUCCCCGUCCCGUCCCACCCCUGGCUGACCUGGUGUUGUGUAACCCGAGCAGCCACCUGAAGGCCUAAAUGAGCGGCGGCGAAGACCUGUCGUGCUAUCGAUCAACAGUCAGAGCAGAUGGCGUGCGCCGCGCUUCCUUAAUGCUGCUCAAAUCCAACAGGAAUUGACGACUGAAAUGGCCGCCUUUUUAGCUCGGGCGUUAAGCUUCAGUAGGAAUCUGAAUUGCAAAGUCAAAAAAGAAGACAAAGGGGGUCGGCGAUUUACGACAGUACCGACGUAUUGAGGUUAGGAGGUUUGUGCCGUUAGGAACAUACUGUUUUAUUUAUUUAUUUAUUGUUUAUUAUUUGUUAUUUAUUCACGGCCUGGACUGUGAUCGUGACUUCGCUACAGCGCAAGCGUAAGUUAGACUACAGAUAGACUACAGCAUCGUCUGACAUAAGUGCAAAUUCAGGUUACGUUGAAACAAAACUCUUGUCAUACACCAAGGACACACUGCUGACGUUCAUGUUUGUCCACCGGAUAGCGUUAUUAUUACCCCGUUCAAAGUACGCGGACAAUUUCACACAUUGUACUGUUUCCUACAUGGGUGCCUGUCUACUGAAAUGAUAACGGUCGUUACUGAUGUAGAAUAAUAUCAAUUUCCUCUAUUUGAGUAAAUACAGCGUCUAAUCCGACACGUAGACACGGCCAAGACAUGACAGUACAAUGUUACCGACAUGGUGUCCGCCCCCAGCGAACUACUCAUGAAACCAUUUUAUAGAAUCGUGCCCAAAUA